GAUGAAGAACGCAGCGAAAUGCGAUAAGUAAUGUGAAUUGCAGAAUUCAGUGAAUCAUCGAAUCUUUGAACGCACAUUGCGCCCCCCAGUAUUCUGGCGGGCAUGCCUAUUCGAGCGUCAUUUCAACCAUCAAGCCCUGCUUGUGUUGGGGUCCUGCGGCUGCCCGCAGGCCCUGAAAACCAGUGGCGGGCUCGCUAGUCACACCGAGCGCAGUAGCACAUCUCGCUCAGGGCGUGCGGCGGGCUCCAGCCGUUAAAGCACCCACCUUUCGCAAGGUUGACCUCGGAUCAGGUAGGAAUACCCGCUGAACUUAAGCAUAUCAAUAAGCGGAGGA
rnacentral:misc_RNA from 1 species